CUAUAGGUAGGAAUAUAGGCCAAAUCUGAAGGAAUGAUUCCCUGGAGACUGUGGAAGUUCAUGUCCCAGAUAGGAAGGUAUGUCAAGAAGUUGGAGCAAACAUCUACCUAGUCCUGCAUGGAAAUCAACACUGUUCCAGCGUUUUGACUACUGGUGCAGAGAGAGUGGGGGAAGGUGGGCGGGGAAGGCAAGGUGAGGAGGGCAGCCCUUGGCAUGGUAGUGCCAUUCUCAUUUAGGUCACCACAAUAGUGAAAUUUCUCCAACAGGAAAAAUAAUCCAACAGGGAGUCAGAGCAGAAUGGGAAGAAGCUACAGUGGUACAGAAGCCAACAUAAAUAGCUGAAGGUACACAAGAGGUAUCACUUUGGUAAUGGCCUAGAAACAACUGGGGAGUUCCUAGUUGUGCCCUGGAACUUCUGAGGGGCUGUCAAGUCAGCAGAUUUCUGGGAUAAAAGAGUAAUUAAAUUACCAAAAUAAACCAGUAAAAACAAAGAUAUUUAAGAGCUCACAUUUCAUAGGCAGUGCAUAGAUCAUUGAUUUUCUGCUAGCACUACUAUUUCUCAGAUAUCUAUGUCUGGUUGAGUCAUCAAGAUGUUCUCCAUGGAACUGUGGGCAGAGUACAUUAGGCUGUAAUAGGACUGCACUUACACACAAAACUCAUGAGGCAACUUCUAGUAUCGCAUAAGUUUUUAACCGUGACCAAACGACUGGUGGCUAAUCACCAGUCUGUCACUUCAAUUUAUUGGUUUAUCCAUUUGUUGAGUACCACUAUAAACACAAACUCAGUGACAUCCUGUACCCAAAAUAAAAGAUCUAUUUUUAGAUGAAAGGGGUGAGACAUUUCAUUGAUGAGAAGUUUCCUGAAGACUAAAACAUAGAACCAAUACUAUUUCCAUAUAAACUUUUCUCUCAAAAUGAACAUGGGUAAAUUAUUUAUGAUGAACCCAGGAGUUAUGUCUCCAUCAAAUCCAAAGCAAGUGUUCAUUCAUCAAAUACUUGCUGGGUGUCUACUUGGUGCCCAGCACUAUAAUGCACUGGGGAAAUAUUUGUGAGCCAAGGAACACAGUUAAUGCUCUGACAGAAAUUAUAGUUUAAUGGGUAGUUGAACAUUAAUGAAGUAACCACAGUAACAAAUGUGAAUUACUAGUGAAGAAAAGUUCCCUGAAAGAAAAGGAUCCGAGUUUGUUCACUGAUGGAGAGGGGCACUUAGAGCAAGAUACCCGACCUUGACUGGGGACCAAGCACGAAAUCCCUAAGAGGUGACAGGAAGAGAGAAGUCUGAAACGUUAAGUGAGUUAACCAGAUGGUGUCAGAAGUGGAAUCCAAAGAAGAGCUAACAACCCCCAGGAGCGCUGAGCGUGGUUCCCACUCGGCCCAUUGUGCCCAUUGCUCUCUUGGAGCAGCUGGGGAUCGUGGCUAGAGUACAAUGGCACAAUCACGGGUCACCGCAACC
rnacentral:lncRNA from 1 species